rnacentral:rRNA from 1 species
AGAGAGAGACAUGCGCGCAUAUCAAUAAGCGGAGGAAAAGAAACUAACAAGGAUUCCCUUAGUAACGGCGAGUGAAGCGGAAGAGCUCAAAUUUGAAAUCUUCAAGGUUUUACCUUGACGACUUGUAGUUUAAAGAAGUGUUUUCUGCUGAAGUUUUGGUAAAAGUUCUUUGGAAUAGGACAUCAUAGAGGGUGAGAAUCCCGUAUUUGACCAUUAUUUUCAGCUUUGUGAUACACUUUCAAAGAGUCGGAUUGUUUGGGAAUGCAGUCCAAAAUGGGUGGUAAAUUUCAUCUAAAGCUAAAUAUUGGCGAGAGACCGAUAGCGAACAAGUACCGUGAGGGAAAGAUGAAAAGAACUUUGAAAAGAGAGUUAAACAGUACGUGAAAUUGUCAAAAGGGAAGCGUUUGACACCAGUGUUGUUUCCUCGAAAAUCAAUUAAAAAUGGCUCGAUUUUGUAUUGUUGAGACCUUAAAAGCUCACUGUACAUUUUUCGUGUCUUUUUUAAUGCACUUUUCGUUUAACAAGUCAACAUCAGUUUCUUUUGUUGUAAAAGGGUCAUUGGAAGGUGGCUUUCUUUUCGGAGAAAGUGUUUAUAGCCUUUGGCCUCUGCAAUCGGAAGAGACUGAGGUCUGCAGCGUAGACUCUUAGGGGUUAGAUACAUUUGUGCUAAGUUAUAGCUUUUUAUAGACAACUUGUUGACUAUAAUUAGUCUUGUAGCUUACUCGCUUAUGCUAUUUUACCUACGCUUAGGAUGUUGAGUCGUAGAGCACGCAG